rnacentral:rRNA from 1 species
GACGAACGCUGGCGGUGUGCUUAACACAUGCAAGUCGAACGGUAAGGCCCUUUCGGGGGUACACGAGUGGCGAACGGGUGAGUAACACGUGAGUAACCUGCCCUCAUCUCUGGGAUAACAGUCGGAAACGGUUGCUAAUACUGGAUAUGAGCUUGCAAGGCAUCUUGUGGGUUGGAAAGAUUUUUUUUGGUUGGGGAUGGACUCGCGGCCUAUCAGCUUGUUGGUGAGGUAGUGGCUCACCAAGGCUUCGACGGGUAGCCGGCCUGAGAGGGCGACCGGCCACAUUGGGACUGAGAUACGGCCCAAACUCCUACGGGAGGCAGCAGUGGGGAAUAUUGCACAAUGGACGGAAGUCUGAUGCAGCAACGCCGCGUGCGGGAUGGCGGCCUUCGGGUUGUAAACCGCUUUCAAUUGUGACGAAGCUUUUUUGUGACGGUAGCAGUAGAAGAAGCACCGGCUAACUACGUG